ACUCAGGAUCCGAGGGGGGAAGAGUGACAGCAGCAGCUGACCGCCCCUCCCGCCGCCUCCUGAGAGGCCCCCAUGAUAAAGCAUCCUGCUUUGUGGUGUAAUCAACUUGCCAUACAUGCAUUACCUCCUAAUGAGCGCCGUGUUUAAACAAGUGUAUAGAACACAUCUGUCCGGGCCUUGGGACUCGAGGCUGUGUGACCAAUUUCAGCAUCUGAAAGUUAAAUUAAUGGUAAAGGGUUUAAUUGUGAGUAAACAAUACCACAUUAAGGAGCAGUAAACACAGCAGUGGGGACCCACCGACCCGCUCUGCCAUCACAGAUGCGGCGGCCUCCAUGUGACCGUUAAUAGUCCCCGCCGCCUGGAAGUUCUGACAGCGCCCUGAAGCCCAUUUGUCAUCUAAAUGGUCCGUCCCCUUCUUAAACAUCAUUUUGGCCCAAGGUCCAUUCAUGGGGCCUGCCGGGUGUUCCUGGGAAGAUGGGCAGAAAAUCCCAAGGCCACCAUUUAGUGCCAAUAAACAGAAGGCCUGGUUUCUUCAAAAGAAACACAAGAAAUUGUUUCCUGGUUUUGCCACAGAGAUUGGGUCACAGAGUGCCACCUAAAUGGUAUUACCAUAUUUGUGUUGUCGCCUCUUGGUUUGAAAUUUAUUCCUGGUAUGACUUGUGUCUCCCCUUGUUCCAUCUCUGACACCCAAGCCCAUGGGAUGACAACCCAGGCUGAGAUGUCCCAUGUGUCACAAAGGAGUCCUUCAGUAUUUCCAGGAAUAGUUGGAACCAGCACUCCAUCCCCUACCUGGACCUGGCACCCUCUCUACUCUUGUCAAUUCUACACUAAUCACAGGAAGAAGGUGGAAUUAGUCCAAGCUGGGUUUUCAGAAAUAACUUGUAGACAUGCAACAGAUGUUUAUAACCCUCAGAAGCGGAAGGAAACUUGGAAACCCUCUCUUUCGGUGACUUUUUUUCUAAUGAUUGUCUCUGCCAUGAAAUUCUAACUUCAAAUGAAAUCUUUGGCAGGAACCCAGGGCUGUUCUGUCAAGGUUCAGCUGCAGGACCAGAGCCCCUUCCACCUAACCCCCACUCCUAUCCUGAUGCUUCCUGAGGCACAUCUGCUGUGGUUUCUCACCAGAGAACAGUCUGCAAAAUCACUGCACCUUGUCCAACUCCAUUUUCCAACUGAGAAGACUUGGCCCAGAGAAGUGCACAGACUUGAGGGAAGUAACACAGCAAUCGGACAGACAGACAUCCCCAGAUAUACCUGCUACGGUCCUGGGAGAAAAUAGAGACCCAUCCCCAAAUACCAUCAUCCUCAUCAUUCUCUGUAGCCCAAUCAAAUGAUGCUCCAGGCCUGAGAUUUUAUCCAAUGAACACUCUGUACAUCUUUAAAAGAGAUAUGUACUUGUCUUAUUCCUCCUUUCCUUUCUUUAAAAAAAAACACAGGCCCCAGAUCCAGUCAUUCUAAAUAGGAAGGAAAAACAUAACCCACUGAGGCAAUGGAUGCUGUUUCUCUCCCUGCUCUGUGACUUUAGUUUGCCUUUAAAGCCCAUUUUCACCAUUUAUUGAUUUUAGUUUUCUACUUGUCUAUGAAUGACAACUUGAAUUAAGACAACGCAGGCUGAAAAGCCGCUAGGCAGUGCUAAAUGGACAAGCUACACUUCGUGGCAGGAUGUCUCAUGACCGUGCCACCUUCUGCCUAGCCCCAUUCUCUGGAGGAGCUGUGGGCAGACCGACCCCAGCCUGGCCGCCUGGCAUGGGGACUGGUUGCGUCAGAUCGGAGCUCUGAGAUAAGGGUGGGCCAGGGCAUGAUCAUCACCACUGCCAGCCUCGAAGCCUCUUUGCUGACCUGGAGGUGAUCUGUGUAUCAAAGGGGGCUGUGUAUUCAACAGCACUUCCAGAAGAGGCCAAAGAUCUGUCUCUACUUCAGCCUCCACUGGGCAGAAAACUAAGCCUAUUUGCUCUAGGCCCUUCAGACUUGCACUUGGAGAAAGAAAACUCACUAAGUCAGCCCUUAUGUAACUCCACUCUCCUCUCUUCCAAACCUCCUUGCUUUGGACAAAUAUUUGACAGAAAAUGCCCUUUUGCAACGCCUUAAAAGUUACAAAAAUGGUGCACCCUAUCCUUUAAUCUGUACUGUAAAUAAAAAAUAUUAACACAAACCCUUUAA
ensembl:lncRNA LINC02140 long intergenic non-protein coding RNA 2140